GGGGAUGUGGCUCAUCGGUAGAGUGCUCUUCUUGCACAUGUGUGGCCCUGGGUUCCAUCCUCAGCACCACA
rnacentral:tRNA from 1 species